UGGGGAAUUUUGGACAAUGGGCGCAAGCCUGAUCCAGCAAUGCCGCGUGCAGGAAGAAGGCCUUCGGGUUGUAAACUGCUUUUGUACGGAACGAAACGGUCUGGGCUAAUACCCUGGGCUAAUGACGGUACCGUAAGAAUAGGCACCGGCUAACUACGUGC
rnacentral:rRNA from 1 species